AGGGAACCAGAAAACUUCCACAAACUUAUUGGCUGACAUCCACGGCAAAUGUCAUUCCCAAUAUGGCAGAGAAUUAAGCAGCUCUAUAGCAAAAUAAACCACAUCCAUCAAAUAAAGAUUAUGACACUUUUAUUUUCACAUUUAAUGCUAAAAAAUCAAGUGCUGUAAAAAUCAGUGAGGCUGGGGAAGAGACUUAUGCUCUGAUUCCUGUCACCCUGGCAGAAGCCUAUACUGAGCAUGAGCUGAAUCCUACCUUUCCUGUUCAGACUAAAAGCCUGACAUGUCUUUGUAGGUACGCAGCCAUCGCUUUGGGUAGAAUUUUUCAUCCUUCCUCCCACUGACUCUUUCUGCAUCCUUCCCUAAUUGUGGAAAGUGAUAACUCUAUUCUGGGUCAUCCAGGCCCUCAACCUGACUGAGAUGUAGCCAAACUGUCAGUGGUUCUUGACUGCUGACUUCUCUAACAGCCAUCACGUCCCAUCAACGCACACAGCUCUCCUCCAGAUAUCCACGUUUCAUUCCUGGAUCACUGCAGGUCCUUUUCUUUCACCCUGCUAUAGCUAAGGACCACCGCGGCUCAUUCUCAAGCCUGGAUCAUCACUCACGUUUCUUUUUGCAGGGCCAUCACUGACCACUUCUCAAUUUCACUGAACACAGGCUCUCAGGGCCCACCUUUCAUGGUUCCCUACCUUUCACAUCAGCUUUUGCUGUCUCUCAAGGUGGUUACUGCAUGCCAUGGUGCCAUCACCCACUUGUUAAACUUUUCAACAACCGCCCAUAAUACGUUCUUCCAUCGGGCCCUCAGGCUUGGGAGAGCCACCCUGUAAACAGCCGCCAAGCUCCAUCAUUACCUGCCUUCCAAGCUCUUAUUUAAGUUCUCCUUUGCAAUAUGACUUAAGAAAAAGCCACCUCUGAUUUUAUGCAGACUACAAAAGUAUAUCAUGCUAAAUAAUAUACAUUCUUUUUUCAUCAUUUCCCAUAUUUCCUGUCUAGUUUUUAUUUCUUUGACUAUAAACUCUUUGGGAUAAGAAAUGUAUUCUCAUGCGUUUGUUAUUGAGACUCCGAGAAUUGAGAUGAUGUAAAUACACAGUAGGAUAAAUAAAGUGGAUCUUCUCUUUCAUUCUUCUUUUUCAUUAAAGAGGAGAACAUGCCUAAACUUCUUGUUGAUCGGAUGAACUGAACUCAUCUCAGCCUAAUCCUCUCACCUGAUACUGACGUUGUUUCUAAGGUAAUAAGGGGUUGUUAGCACUGGGAGACGUGAGAACACCUCAUUUCAUUUCAUGAUAUAAAAUUCUUAUUCUCUAACACUGCAUUUUGUCGAUAAGCCACUGGAGGGACACCUCCACUACAAAACCAAACCCAGCGCAACCUGCAGGAGAGCUCCCAGCCCCGCUCGCUCCUGCUGCCUCUCAGAUGGAAGACUCCAGCCAGAGGCGGUUAUUUUUCUGGUUAACAAUUAUUUCUGGUUAAAAAUGAAAACUCUAACUUCACCUCGAGUCAUUCGUUCUGCAAACACAGGAGGAAAAGAAAGAAAGGCAAAAUGCAUUGUGUAUCGCUUCAGCCUGGCGUUACAGCUCACAACUUCAUUGAGGGGAUUUCACAAUGUUCCUGCAAAGUCCAAUUUGCAGCUGCAGUAUUUCCCUUUUCUGUAUCAGGACUACUUCUGUUAUUACAAGCCACCUCUUGCCAGAUCCCAAUUUCUUCCAGACUACAUCACCUAAUAUUUACAGCCCAUCCGCUGCUUUCCUGUGAGAAGAAAAAUCACCCAGAAAAAGUGUCAAUCCGGGGAAGAGAUGCCAAAUGUGUCUGAAACAUAUCGUGGUGCAGAUAGGAUUCUAUUUUUGUCUGGAACAGAAGGCAGGAAGCAUUUAUGUUCCUCAGUAUCUAAAUUUAUCUUCCAAAGAAUAUUUAUUAAAGUCACCAUAGAAACAGUAAUUUAGAACUCUUAUUCCAGUUUUUUUUUACAAUUACUAUUUGCUCUACAGCUUGAUCUGUUACACAGAAAAUAAUGAACAGCUCAAGAUCUGUCACAACCUUAUUCUGUACGUUUUUGCUCCUUGAUGGGAAAGCAUAUCUUGUGGCACGUGAAACAGAACUGCUGUGGACCGUUUUCGUACCCUGACAUUUAGAACCAGUGUCCCCCAGUUAGCCCAGCAGUGGGACACAGCCCGAGGCGUUCUCUCUGUGUUAUGGAGGCGAUUGCACACACUGCCUUCCUGCCUGAUUUCCUCAUGCUGAUCGCUUCGGUGUGAAUGCCUCUGAGAUGAGAACUACUCUGGGCAGUGAGCUCCCUGUAAACAAGCAUCCUACAAGUGCCAAGCUCAGAAAUAACUGUUUGCAUGUGCUGAAAAACAACUUUUGUCAUUAGAAUUGUUCCACAAAGAAGCAAACAGGCUAUACACCCACCCAUGUGGCACAGCAUUUCAUGCUAUUUAGAAUGGUGGCUAUUGCAGGUUAACAAUAAGAGCUGCAUAGUUUAUGAUACAACCUACAGUGAACUUCCUAUCUUUGAAGCUUCACCUUUCUUCUCCGAUGCAUUUUCUAAAUGCAACAAUGUAAUCCUGUAUGCACAGGUUAUAUUUAUCACAGCUGGCUUAGGCUGAGACAGAAUUAAUUAGGAAGUGCCUCAAAUGUCAGAUCAUUAAAUGAAAUUCUAAGAAGGUAAAUUGUAGUCUUCGGUGAGCAGAUAUGGCACAAAAUGAAUACAGAUCCCUGGAACAAAUUGCAGCUGCCGUGAAAUAUUCAUUUCUUCUUUCCAGUUGCUUCCUGGGACAACGUCCAUGGUGCUACCUAAACACCAAAACUUCCUAAUUUGAUGCGAAGGUCGGCAUGGAGGUCAUGAUGAAGAAUUUCGUUUAGUCUCCGAGGAACGACUAAACAUUGAACAAAUAUUUAAUUUGCAUUUUACAUUGCUAUUGAAUAGACUUUCCUUCUUCAAAAAAUCCCCCCGGAGUUUAUCUCAGUUCUUCCUUUCUUUGUUGAAAAAUUACAGGAGUAAAGGGAAAAAAACCAGGUAUACAUACCAAGCAGCUCACAUUUUAGAACAGCUUUCCUUUUACUGUGUUCGUAUCAAGAAAGGUAUCGCAAUAGCGAAAGAAAGGAAAACUCAGAGUGCUUUUUAUGCAUUCUAAUUGAAAGGAUCAACUUUUACCCUGAAAUCAAUAUUCAAACUCAGUUGUAGAAAUGGAUUUUAAUGGAAGAAAUGUGUAAUAAACAUACUUUCCAAGCUCCCAUGGUGAGGGCUGCUGUCUUGAUACACUGUUUGGCAGCAGAAUUCCACAUCAAGAUGCAGUUACUUGCAUUACAAAAGGUAACAAGUUAAGACAGAAAGCAGCAUGUGGGGGACAGCAUGCUAUCCUCCUCCCUUCUCCCUCUUUCCUCCCCAAAUCAAUCUGUUUUGACUGAAUCACUUUCAGCAACCGCAUCAAGGCACCGCCAUUAUGGCAGUGGAUGGUUUGAAGGGGGCCCCAUCCAUUUGCUGGGGUAUUUUGCUGACCGUUUUGUGAGUAUAUGGGCCCUUACUGCUUGCUGACAUGAUGAAGAGCAGCCUGACUACAUGUGCAAACACAGGUGAGUAAACAGCCUUUCUCCCUGCAAGAACUGCAGCAAGGAGAAAAAUGGUACUAAGAACAAGCGCUCUCCUUUCUCCCAUUGCUUCUGGUUUACGUGGGACACAGGAGGUCCAUAGGCAAAGGACACAGCACACGGCAGAGUCAGAGUUCAGGUCCGUGGAUCGUAUGCUUGCUGUGCUGACAGCAGACAGGGAAGGCUUGAUGUGCUGCCUCUCUUUGUCUCUUGUAGAUUUAAAGCAGGAUAGUUGGGAAGCGUGGGUUUCGGUGUUACACCUGUGACUCACCUUUUGCUGUCAGCACAUAGUGGGUCUGGCAGCUGUGCUAUGAGGUGAAUGCAUUCCUAACCUGCUGUAAUGGAGAAAGCGGUCCCACCUGGAUCCUGGCAGCCCCACACGCCUGUCGGGCUCACAGCACAUGCUGUAAAAACGUCUGUGUGCUUAAAGGAAUCCAAAGGGGACUGACCAUCAGCGUCCAAUCUUCCGCCAAUCUUGCUGAAUUACUUUCAUUCAAUCUUCCUUUGUGUUCUUACCUCCUGAUAUCACACUUAUCCCUUCAUGCACGUUCCUCCUAUUGAAAGCGUGAGGCUUAGUCAUCUGUUAAGAGGGUUCAGUGAAUGUUACAUGAGUGUAUUCUUGGAAUUUUUUCUUUGUGAACUGUUAAAAUUGCUUCUUGUCGAUGUGAAUGCCUUUUAUGGCCACCUCCACUCCUCCGUCUUCCUCUUUGACUUGAGAAGUGUGGGUCAUGGUGCAUGGGGGCAUGGAAUGUAUGAAGCUUAACACAUGAAUCACAGACGUUCUGUCUCAUUCAUAUAGAAGAAAUGGCUGGGGAUUUUGUUUUCUCAUAAAUGGAUCUUUCUGUGAACAGGCUGAUGCUGGGCAUCUUUUUAAAAGGAAGAUUUCUUUUCUGAGGCAGCAGCAAUUAUAAAUAAGGAAGACAGAAAACAGCCUUUGCAUUCUGCCCUGACUUCUCAUGCUCCUUCCCUCCUGUAUGCUGAACCUCUUGGAUCUGGUGCUCCUCACCUUCAA
ensembl:lncRNA